ACUCGCGUAAGUCGAUUUGUUAUAGGUUACAUUACAGCCUGAGCUAUAGCAGAUGUUCCAAAUACAGUAAAAUUAAAAAAUAUUGAGUAGCGAAAUAGCGAAAUAGUUCGCUACAUUUUUUAAGCAGUAGCUGUAGUCAGUAGCGAACUACUUUUGUUCAAAAGUAGCAGUAGUUGUAGCUGACUACAUAUUUUUGAAGUAGCUGUAGUUAUAGCGAACUACAAAAAAAUUGUAGUCAACCCACCCUUGGAAAAAUCAUAUGGUAGUUGGCGAAUAGCUUCGUUCAAAGUAAAAUAGUCUGGGGUCGGUUGUUCAAAGCUGGGUUAGCUUAACCCUAGGUUAACGUACGCAAAAUUCAAAUCAAACUUCCUCACAGCUUGUCUAUAAAUUUGAAAAUAUUUCUUCAGAGAUCUUGUCUGGAUCGAUAAGAGUUUACUUCUCUGAAGUUUUGCAAUAAACAGACGUGCAGAAAUAUAUAAACUAAAACAGCAGGUUAAAUUUUAACCCAGGGUUAGCGCUAAGGGACCAUUCAUUAUUUAUGACCGGGGGUGGGCUGGCAAAAUUCAAUUAACAACUAAACAAAAUGUCCUGACCCACCCUCUGCAUCACAAAAAAAAUUGAAUGACCCCCUUCACACGAAUUCUAAAAAAUAGUACCCCCCCAACGACAAUAUAAUACAUGUACAGUACUGUGUAGAAAUGAGCUAUUUAAUUAAAGUUGUUGUAAAAGGCAUCAGAUCUUUCAUGCACUUGUGCUUUCAACAAUUAAUAUGCAUGCCUAUUUAACCCAUUAAGCUAGUGCAGAACUUUCCAAUUGACGAGUAAAAUCGUCUGGCGUUAAUAAACAAGUAAAAAAAUAAAUAGGGUGCACUGGGUCGCAAUGGGUUAACUAGAGACAUUGUCCGAUUUUUUGGUUAACCAUUAAGCUGCAGAACGCCGAAGAGGCUAUAGCUGGGGGUCAUACUAUUUUUCGCUACUAAGAGUGUAGUAAAAAGUUGCUCAAAAAGGAAAAAGUUGCUUGAAGUUGCAAUUGCUCGAGCCAAAAAAAGUUGCUCCAAACGCAAAAAAGGUUGCCCAAAAGUUGCCGAGCACAAUCGGGACAUGCCUAACAGAGCUUCCCCGUUGACAAGUAAAAUCGGUUAGGAGGUUAGGGUACUUGACGUCAAUGAACUACAAAGACUGUUAAACAGCUAGUGACUCGGGCUCGGAUUUGACUCGGGCUCGGAUUUGACUCGGACUUGACACGGUUAACCGACAAAUGCCUUACUAAAUUAAACCAUGUAUAAAAUACCUAGUAUAAACUAGUGUAUAUAGUAUAUGCCAAACUUUCCCUGGACGUAAUGUUGCUACAUCGCUUACUCGUUAAUUAUAGUGACUGCCUUUUUUAUUAAAAUGUACAUAAUUGAAAUAUGACAAAAAUUUAUGGCAAGUUCAUGACAAAAGUUAUAAGGUAGAUGUUCGAUUAUUUUACAUAUUAGGUGCGCGCAUUGCAUUGUGGGUAUUUGUGCAUUGCUUUUUGGGUCUAUCUGUUGAUUAAAAUUGAGAAUUUUGCUAGCUAUACAUGAAUUAAAUUUGCUGCCUUGCUCGCUCCCUGUGGUAGCAAUAAUCGUUACAGGUCAAAUUUCUCUCCACUAUAAUACCACUAUAAUAAAUAACUGGACCCCCCUUCUGAACCAAUAUUUUUUAGGUGCCCCCCCCUUUUUCGGUCAAAAAUACCUCAUGACCCACCUCCUUGUUUGGCCAGCCCACUCCCAGUCAUAAAUAAUUAAUGGUCCCUAACCCACCGUUGAACAACCGGCCCCUGGUGUUCAGAGUAAAAUAGUCAGUCAUUAACAUUAGAGUAUAAAAAUACUACUAAAGACACUAAAAAGUCACGACGCAUUCCCGUUUAAUUAAUGUGAUAACUAAUGUUGGAGUAGGGUUUGCAGAUGGUCAAGUUAACCCGUUAACAUCUGAAACACAUAAAAUCGUCUAGCGCUAGGCCUUGGAGUAAAAUAAAAAACUCCGGACGUUUCAGGGCGUAUUAUCGUACGUUUACGUGUAAUGGGUCAAUUGUGCUCCAAUGGCAAUGUUUAUAGCAUUAAUUUAGUUGUGACAAUAUUUAGUUGCAACGUUAUUCACAACGUUAGAAGAUAUUUGUCAUAACGUGAAAGAUUGUGGCUGUCAUGUGUGAUUGUAUAUAUUGUUCUAGGCGUUUUCAGUCAUAUUAACAGAUUUUCAGACCCUAACUUUGUUCUACUUUAGCUAUAUAACUGCUCUUACAGCAAAAUAGUUGCACGAGUCUACUGCAUCCUAUAGUAAAAAUUUAGUUUUUACUCUGAUUAAGUAACAAUAUAAAAUCAAUUUAACUGUGGAAGACAUGGCGAUGUGCACAUGAAACUACAUCAUCAGACACAGUGCACUCGUGCAACUAUUUUCCUGUGAGAACAAGUGCAUAGCUUAAGCAGAUACGGACAUGGAAUUAAAUCAGCAGACACAGUGCACUCGUGCAACUAUUUUCCUGUGAUAUCGAGUGCAUAGCUUAAGCAGAGCAAAAGUUAGGGUCAUAAAACCUGUCAACAUAACUAAAAAUGAAUAAAACAACUGUACUUAGAAUACUGAAAAUUUAGGGUAAUAAAAACAGUUAAUAUGACUAAAAAUGACUAAAACAACUGUACCAUACGAACAAAGCAGAAGAACUUCCCCUAUUUCAUGAAAUACUACACCCAAUUAAACUAAACUUUGGGAAAACUAAAAGCAGACAUAUCUGAUAGCACUUAUAAUCAAAUAAUCAAAGUAAGGUAUCUGUCGGAUUAUUUGGCCAUUAACGCCUGUUUAUCCAUGGUAUCCAAUAGUAAAAACUUAGUAUUUACUCUAAUAAACAAUAUAAAGUCACCCUAAUUGUGGAAGACUUGGCAAUAUACGUACAUAAAACUACAUCAAUAGACACAGUGCACUCGUGCAAGUAUUUUUCUGUGAGAACAAGUGCAUAGCUUAAGCAGCAUAAAGGUUAGAGUCAGAAAACCUGCUAAUGAUGACUGAAAAUGCUUAAACAACUGUACCAUAGGAAUUAAGCAAAAGAACCCCCUCUAUUUCUUGAAAGUCUUCGCCAGAUAGCACCAAACCUUUGGGAAACCUAAAAGCAGACAUGCUGCAUGGUUCCUGUAAUUAAUGUACGGUAUUUUUCAGGCUAUACUUGGCCAUUAACGCCUGUUGAAACAUAGUAUCAUAUAUAGUAAAAACACAGUUUUUAUUUAUUCUGAUGAACAUCAUAAAGCCAACUUACCUGUGGAAGACAUGGCGAUGCAUCAUACAGCAAACGACAGCAAACGCUCUCUCUGUUGGAAGAGGUUAACAUGUGUACCACCAAGCAAUGCUAAGUUAAAUUAAGGGGGCUUUGUGUUAUUUUUCACAGAAAAAAAACAGUAUUUAUACUGUAAAGUAGCUUGUUUAAUUUAAACAGGCACCAAAACCUAAAUACUGUAAAGAAUGUAUUUGUUUAACACGACACACCCUUGGCUAUGUAUGCCUUAAAUGUUUCCAGAGUUUGGUGUAAUUGGAGUUAGUGCUUCAUGAAUUACAGGGUGGUUUAGGGUGACGUCUUAUUGUUUACUGGUCUUAAAUAUUUUUAUGGGAUUUUAACCGGUUUUCUGAAUGUAAUUUCAGUUCUAGUUAAACUACAGCAGUAUAACAUACAGCAAACGAUUGUAUAUGUUCGCUCUAUCUUCAGGUAGAGUUUAACAUGUGUACCACUAUGCAUUGCUAAGUUAAGGGGGCGUUGAGUUGUUUUUCACAGAAAAAAAACCAAAUUGAUAGUAGUAUUUAUACUGUAAGGUAGCUUGUUUAAACAGGCGCCAAAGCAUAAAUACUGCAAAAAGUAUAUUAGUUUAACUUGACGCACCAUUUGCUAUGUACGCUUUAAGGCCACUACAAGUUAAUCUUUAGUUUCUAGUCCGCCGCCCGCGUCCUUUGUUCGUAAAGUAUUAUUUCAGGACUAUUUUGUUAUUUACAAUUAAUUUCUAGUUCUUGAAAAUUUCCGCGAAGGGUUUAACUUAUAGAACGAUAAAUAUUCAAUCUCCACUAAAAAGACCUAGCAAAAUGUAGUAUUGAAUGGUAAAAACCGCUGCCUUAUCAAGAUUACGAGGUAAAAAAAAACUAGACUAUUAAAAGGUCAUUUUGAUAUGUAAAAUCCUUUGUAAUCUGUCAUACAUGUCGAUUUAUAAAUAAUAUAAAUGCAAUUUAUCUAAAAUUUCAUAACAUUUUGAUACAAUUCGCAUGAAAAGGGACACGAAAGACAACAGAAAUGUGGGCAAAGCCAGAAUAGUAAUUAUUCCCUAUAGUCCUAACCACCCGUCCGCCCGCGUCGUAAACGAAGGUAAGGCCGGACCAGAAACUAAAGAUUAACUUGUAGUGGCCUAAGCGUUUCCAGAGUUUGGUGUAAUUGGGGUUAGUGGUUCAUGAAUUACAGGGUGGUUUAGGGUGACGUUUAUUGUUUACUGGUCUCACACAUUUUUAUGGGAUUUUAACCGGUUUUCACAAUGUAAUUUUAGAUCUAUUUAAGCUACAGCAGUGCCAUAUACAGCAAACGACUUGCCUAUGUUCGCUCUCUCUACUGGUAGAGUUUAACAUGUGUACUACCAUGCAUUGCUAAGUUAAGGGGGCUUUGUGAAGUUUUUC